rnacentral:rRNA from 1 species
UACGUAGGGUGCAAGCGUUGUCCGGAAUUAUUGGGCGUAAAGAGCUCGUAGGCGGUCUGUCGCGUCGAAUGUGAAAACCCGGGGCUCAACCCCGGGCCUGCAUUCGAUACGGGCAGACUAGAGUUCGGUAGGGGAGUCUGGAAUUCCUGGUGUAGCGGUGAAAUGCGCAGAUAUCAGGAGGAACACCGGUGGCGAAGGCGGUUCUCUGGGCAUGUUCUGACGCUGAGGAGCGAAAGUGUGGGGAGCGAACAGG